rnacentral:tRNA from 1 species
GGAAUUGUCCCUCAUUACAGUCGCCGGUGGGAGAGCGCAUCGCUGGCAGCGAUGAGGUCAGGGGUUCGAUCCCCCUUGACUCCACCA